UACGAAGGGGGGCUAGCGUUGCUCGGAAUCACUGGGCGUAAAGGGUGCGUAGGCGGGUCUUUAAGUCGGGGGUGAAAUCCUGGAGCUCAACUCCAGAACUGCCUUCGAUACUGGCGAUCUUGAGUCCGGGAGAGGUGAGUGGAACUCCGAGUGUAGAGGUGAAAUUCGUAGAUAUUCGGAAGAACACCAGUGGCGAAGGCGGCUCACUGGCCCGGUACUGACGCUGAGGCACGAAAGCGUGGGGAGCAAACAGG
rnacentral:rRNA from 1 species